rnacentral:tRNA from 1 species
GUCUCAGUGACGUAGUGGUUAGCGCAUGAGCCCCGGUCAGGCGCGAGAUGCGGGUUCGAAUCCCGUCUGAGGUG